AUGAGUUGCAAAUGAUUAAAUCUGUAUAGUUUACAUCAUUCAUUUCUUUAAAAAAAUUUGGUUAUGUUAUUCUUUGGCACCUUUUCGUGCUUGAUAAAAUGCCAAAUGGCCCAAACUUGCUGUAUUGUGGAGAACCCUGCUGUAUUCCCCUAGCUAGGUUUUUUUGUACAUGGCAUAAAACAAAAGCUCUAUUGCUAUAACUUUUCUAAUAGAAACUUCACAAUGUACUGUAUAUGUAUAUCAGAUUUCAUGUGUACAUCUUUAUUUAUGUAUGCAUUAGGAUCUGCUGCAGCCAUCUCUCUCUAUUGUGCAUAACUUCUUCUUACAGUGGCGGUUUGCCCAGACGAAAAGGGGAUUGCUGACAGAAGCCAUGAGUUCCCUCUUAGAUGUUGUUUAAGCAUUCCGCUAUUAAAGCCCAGGGCAGAUGCCGCCACCCAUACUUAUUGUUUAGAUGUUCUCCCAGUUGAUCUUCUUGAUGAAGCUUCUAUUCCAGUGAAUUUAACAUGCCCCUAUGGCAGUUCCCAACAGGGCCAGGGUUUCUAUGGAAUCUCAGGGGUGCUUGAGAAAGGCGAUAUCAGUCCAGAGAGUCCAUUGCAGCUAACUUUCUUAAGUUUCUUGGAAGUUCCGUAUCCAUCUGAAAGUCAGCCAUGCUCGGAUGUCCACUAGAAUUGCAGUAAUCACAUCAAUUUGAAGAUAGAAAGUGCUGACAAAUGUCAAUUGUGUUGUGUGGGUGUAGAGAUGCAGGAUGGAUGUUUAGAAACUCCUAAAAUCAAUGAUGAAACUGUUAGUAACCCAAUGAGAAGCGAGGCGCUGCUAAACAGUGCUUUGUCAAUUAAGAGCAGUCUACAAUUGGGUGGGAAAAUGAUGCAAUUUUUAAUGGAUCACAGUGCAACAUUACUAAGGUGCACUUCUAGAGACAAAUGUAAUAACAAGAGGGGGUAUGAUACAACUAAUAACAAAUGGCGGAGAUACAAGCGGUCUGCUUCAUUCAAUUCAAGGAGAAGAGUUCUCUUCUCUUCCAUCUUGAACUGAUCCUACCUUCAUUUGUGUCACUAUCAAGCAUGGGAACAAUGGUGCUGAUAUAUCUGACAUUGAGAGUCAAGCAAAUCAGUGAUGGGCUUGUUCAUGUCUAGACAAGUUCUAUGGAUGUUUCCACUACUAGAAUUUUCUAUUUUUUGGGGUUCUUUUCCUUGUUCAUUGUUUAUGGCUGUUGAUUGUUAGGAGUUUCUCAUUGUUGGAUGGAGCUUUGUUGUAUGUGGUGUCUAGACACUUACAGAGGCGUGGUUUGAACUUUUACAUACAGAAAAUGAGAAAUUAUGUUUUUGUUGUAAAAAAAAAAGUAUGCAUUGGGAUCUUAGCCAUUUCGCAGUCUUUAGAUCUAAUUGCUUUUCUUUGAUUUUCUUCACUCGAUAUCUCAUUUAUGUAGAGACAUUCUCAUUUCUAGCCAUGAUUUCCUUCAAGAUUCUUUUCCAUCUCAUCUCUUUAGUUACUCAGCUUCAGUGCCACUUGAAAUCAGAUCAGUCAUACUACAAUGCUGAUGAUUGUAUAUUUGAUGUUUCGUAUCUGUCAUGCGUCAUACAUACAUUCUCAUUUCUAGCCAUGAUUUCUUCAAGAUUCUUUUCUUUCUCAUCUCUUUAGUUACUCAGCAUCAGAUGCAUUUGAAAUUAGAUCAGUCCUGAAUUUUCUCUAAGUUCAUUUGUUACUACAAUGCUGGUGAUGGUAUAUUUGAUGUUUCAUAUCUUUCAUGCGUGAUCCGUUGAUUCAGUCUGCAUUUUUCUUAACCUUGUUUUCAUUAGUAGCUUUGGUAGAGAUGAAGUUUUUGGAUAUUGGUCCUCCCUAACAAAUGACAGAUUCGGUUCUCGAAUUGCAAGCAUAACUGCUGAAAAAACAAAGGCAACAGAAGCUUUUUUUAUGCAUUCCUUUUACUCCGUGGAUGCUGAAUAGAGAAAGUUAAGGACUGAACCACUCCAACCAUCUUGCACGCCAUUUAGCCAUGGGCCAAAAAAACACAGGCCUAUCCAUGACUCAGGCAGGUCACACAAGUAGGAAUAGUUAAGAGGGGAUUCCCACCCUUGAUUUUAAUAGAGGGCCCACCAUGUUGUGUUUGCCAUCCCAUCUAUGGAUAUGAAACACCUACCCCAGAUGAUGGCAUAGAAAAAAAAAAAGCAGGCCAAUUUGAAACUUGGAUGGACCUCGGCACAAAUUAGUGGUAGGCCCCCACUCUAUAUACAUACAUGUGUUUCACCAUACCUACACCUUUUACACCAUGGGAUUGAAUUUCUUCUUAUGUUUAUAUUACCAUAACAAAACUUAUUGGAUCCCAAACAUCACAAGAAAUUAUUUUCACAAUAAAAAUAUCAUGGAAUCCAUGUCUUGCAUCCAAAAACCACAAUAUCUCCUUAUGUUAGUGCAGUUCCGGUGCACCUUAUUUUCUUUUGAAGCACAAAGGAGAUGGGAGAUGUUACGUAUCUACUAUGUACAUGGAGAAUUGGGUAAACUUACCUGGGCACCAGGAAGACAAUUCAUGGCAAGCUUUUGUGUUUGUACCGAAAGAUAACUGGUAUAUUGAAAAGGUUUGCUAGUAAUUUACUCAAGGGGCAGACAGUUGUAGUGAUUGGAGCAGGUUAUAUUGGAUGAAAGAAUAAAAUCUAUUGUUUCUAUGUUUAUUUCCAAUUUAGUUUAUUCUUUGAAGUACUUAAUGAUUUGUUAUUGAUGGCCUUGAUACAUGAAAUCUAGAAACUCCUGCAUCAAAAACCAAUGAGAACAGAUGGAUAAGAAUGAAGUGCAGCCAGAAGGUCCUUCACAAUGCUCCAAAGAUAAUGGCCACAUCAAAAGAACAGCUGAGCAUCAUUGUUCUACUGACAAGAACCCCAGAAGUCCAUUUAAUUUCUCAAGAGAACAUCAUGGACAGUAUAGCUCCUGACAAGAACAGAGACUAGCAUGGUUGGAGAGAUGUGCUUACAACCUCAAGGACAAAAUGUUGAUGGUUGAGACUUGGCUGGAAAAAAUGCGCCAUAAAUACAUAUUGUUAAAGACAUAUCUGUACAGCCUACAAAUGUUGUAGUAUUUGUUUAUUCAUUUGGGUGUUUUUCCUUGUUUUGAAUGAUGGAAUAGGAUCCCAAGGAAUGGCCUGUUAGAGCCAUCGCCUUCGUAUGGGCGUGGGAGGGAGAGAUUAGGAGGCCGGCAUAUUAGCCUAAUACAUGGAGAUUAUCUCAAUGAUGUUGUCGUUACAGGUAAUCCAACUUAUCUAUUUGUUCUUAUUUGUUUUGGAAAUUAAUAUAUACAAUCUACAUUGGUUGAUUUUCAUACACCCUUUUAAAAAUAUUUUGGGAAUUGAAAUAGUUCGUUGUAAUAUGGUUGUUUUAUAUGCAAAUCAAUCAGGUGGUGUGGACAUUGGUUCCAUUUCUUUA